GACGAACGCUGGCGGCGUGCUUAACACAUGCAAGUCGAACGGAAAGGCCCUGCUUUUGUGGGGUGCUCGAGUGGCGAACGGGUGAGUAACACGUGAGUAACCUACCCUUGACUUUGGGAUAAUUUCAGGAAACUGGGGCUAAUACCGGAUAGGAGCUCCUGCUGCAUGGUGGGGGUUGGAAAGUUUCGGCGGUUGGGGAUGGACUCGCGGCUUAUCAGCUUGUUGGUGGGGUAGUGGCUUACCAAGGCUUUGACGGGUAGCCGGCCUGAGAGGGUGACCGGCCACAUUGGGACUGAGAUACGGCCCAGACUCCUACGGGAGGCAGCAGUGGGGAAUAUUGCACAAUGGGCGGAAGCCUGAUGCAGCAACGCCGCGUGCGGGAUGACGGCCUUCGGGUUGUAAACCGCUUUCGCCUGUGACGAAGCGUGAGUGACGGUAAUGGGUAAAGAAGCACCGGCUAACUACGUG
rnacentral:rRNA from 1 species